rnacentral:sRNA from 2 species
GCGUUCUUCAAGCGAGCUUGGGAUAGUGGGAGCCAAGUAGGGCAAAAUAAAGGGCUGGCGCUUUCUGUAGUAUUUUCAAAAACAAUGAAGUAAUAAAUUAGGGUGGAACCGCGUUUCUGACG